UACGAAGGGGGCUAGCGUUGCUCGGAAUCACUGGGCGUAAAGGGCGCGUAGGCGGCUCAUGAAGGCUGUGGUGAAAGUCCGGGGCUCAACCUCGGAUCGGCCGUGGCGACUCGUGGGCUGGAGCACUGUAGAGGCGGGUGGAAUUCCGGGUGUAGCGGUGGAAUGCGUAGAGAUCCGGAAGAACACCAGUGGCGAAGGCGGCUAUCUGGGCUGCAACUGACGCUGAGGCGCGAAGGCUAGGGUAGCAAACAGG
rnacentral:rRNA from 1 species